AUUGAACGCUGGCGGAAUGCUUUACACAUGCAAGUCGAACGGCAGCACGGACUUCGGUCUGGUGGCGAGUGGCGAACGGGUGAGUAAUGUAUCGGAACGUGCCCAGUCGUGGGGGAUCACGUAGUGAAAAUUACGCUAAUACCGCAUACGAUCUAUGGAUGAAAGCGGGGGAUCGCAAGACCUCGCGCGAUUGGAGCGGCCGAUAUCAGAUUAGGUAGUUGGUGGGGUAAAGGCCCACCAAGCCAACGAUCUGUAGCUGGUCUGAGAGGACGACCAGCCACACUGGAACUGAGACACGGUCCAGACUCCUACGGGAGGCAGCAGUGGGGAAUUUUGGACAAUGGGCGAAAGCCUGAUCCAGCCAUUCCGCGUGCAGGAUGAAGGCCCUCGGGUUGUAAGCUGCUUUUGUACAGAACGAAAAGGUUUCUACUAAUACUAGGAGCUCAUGACGGUACUGUAAGAAUAAGCACCGGCUAACUACGUGCCAGCAGCCGCGGUAA
rnacentral:rRNA from 1 species